rnacentral:rRNA from 1 species
UACGAAGGGGGCUAGCGUUGCUCGGAAUCACUGGGCGUAAAGCGCACGUAGGCGGCUUUUUAAGUCAGGGGUGAAAUCCUGGAGCUCAACUCCAGAACUGCCUUUGAUACUGGCAAUCUAGAGUCCGGAAGAGGUGAGUGGAACUCCUAGUGUAGAGGUGGAAUUCGUAGAUAUUAGGAAGAACACCAGUGGCGAAGGCGGCUCACUGGUCCGGUACUGACGCUGAGGUGCGAAAGCGUGGGGAGCAAACAGG